UUCCUUAGAAUUUGGCUUCUAUGAGAUUUCAAUAGUUAGGUACUUUCGAUGGAAACAUUGCAUUGGAUUGCAGAGACUUUUAUUUUUUUUACAUUUUAGUAUGAUUUUGGUGCGAUAGUCUUAUUGGGGCAUUUUGCCGAACAUCCAUUUAUUGACGUUUAUGCUUGGGUGCGCUCCCAGUUGACAGCGAUGAGGAUGAAUUUUUUGACGCGUUUUAGUCAUGUUUUAGUUAGUGUUUUUUUUACUAGGAUAGUUUUUUAUAUGUUAUUGUAAAUAUCUAUGUAGCGGUAAAUUGACGUUUAUGAUAAGUUAAUAUUGAAGACUGCGCAAUUAUUUCUUCGACAAAAAUUUUAAUUGUUCAAUAUUGAAUUUUAUAAGUUAAUUAUUUUCCAAAAAGGAGGAGGUUAUCAAUUCGUUUGUUUGUAUUUCUUGUAAUUUUGCACAAUGGUAUUGUUGGUAAGUGCCUUAGAAAAAUAUUAAAUACCUAGACCUCAUAAUAUUAUCGCGCGAUAUUAUUUUGACUGUCUGGGAAGUGCCUAAGAAUUAUAUCACGGAAAAAACAAAAUAAUUGAAGGUAGUUUGUAAUUGUUCAAAAAUAUAGAUACUCUGUGGUUUUUUGUCCUUUCUACGGUUAAUUAACAUGUGCUUCAGAGUUGAAGAAAAGAAUAAAGAAAUUAGUCCAGUCUCGAAUAUAAUCAAAGUAAUCAAUAAAGUAUCAAAUAUAAUCAUCGAAAUGGAUAAUUCAUCUGCAUCAACAACAACAACUAUCACCAUCACCAUCGACGGCACUAUAACCGUCACUGUCAUCGUGACCGACUAAGACAACCUUACCAACAUCAUCUUCGCCAUUAACAAUAUGAUCCAGAUCAGCAACUUCAGCAUCACAGUAUUUACAUCGGCUAUCGUUAUAUACAUUUAUUCUGUUCAAGUGAGCUGGCGUUAAGCAGUGUCCUAAUCGUAUGCGAGUUAUAGUUGUUAUAAAUCUUCUAUUAAUAUAUUCACAAUUAUUAAACCAUGGUUUUAUUCGUAACUAGCCGUUUUCCCGCGGUUUCACCCGCGUCCCGUGGGAGAUACUACCCGCACCGGGAUAAAAUAUAGCCUUUGUUACUCGCAGAUAAAAUAGCUUUCUAAUGGUGAAAGAAUAUUUAAAAUCGGUCCAGUAGUUUUUGAUCUACUGUUUUAUCGCCACCUGGUAACCAAUAUUGUUUUCUCCAGUGAGGUGUCCAGCUGGAUGAAGAUGGUAUGCUACGAGGUGAUCGCGCUCGGCGUGGUGGGAUGCAUCGCUGCCACCAUCAGUGCAGUCAGCGCCAUCUUCAGCACUUCCAUGGCUGUGCCCUGCUACCUGUGAUACUGCACAGCUUCUACUUACACGUCUAUAGGACUCCUUAUACAUAUAAAUACGAGUUGCUUUACAUCACUUCUACGUCAGAAAUACUUGGGACCUAUAUCUUCAUGCCUUAUAAUUAGCAACUGUCUUCUAGAUAUCUGAUAGACAGAAUAAUUCAUUUCCCGACAGCUUUCAGAUUACAGGGAUGAAAUUGAUAUGCUAUAGGAUCCUAUGGAUAAGCCAUAAAAACCAGAAGUUUAAGUCAGCUUCUUAUAUAGAUAUAAGAGUUUAAGUUUUACACUUUAAUAAGCAUCUAUAUUAAUGGGUACAAUUUACAUAACAUUCUAUUAUUAGGUACCAAUAUUGAUAUUUUUGUUACAAUUCUAACAUAAGCCGUACACGCUAGAUGUACCUACUAAAUAUUUUUAUUUUUUAACAUUGAAAAAUACCCGUAAAUAAUUACUUAAGAUUAUGAUAAGCUUCUAUUUUGUAUUGUACUUGAUUACACGAAUAAAAUGUUCUGAUACGCAAAUGUUCUACUAUUUCAUCAAGACACGUUGAGUGCAUAUUGUGAGCCGCACGUAUUCGUACCGAUUCGCAUUUAUUACAUUACCCUACACACCACUGGUUGAGGUGCAGAAUAAAUUGUCAUACAAUCAUACUGUACCGUAACGCCUUCUCUAUGAAAACCGGCAUUGUCACGCGUAAAUGAAACCUUAUUUCAACGGCGGAUCCAGGGGGUAG